CUCUGUAGAUCGUGGUUCCUUCUGGACCCUGGUCCUGACACCUACCGUGGCCCUGCUGACGCCUGCUGCUGCCAUCAUCAUCAUCAUCAUCAUCAUUAUUUUAGAUAUUAAUCAUAUUACCGUACUCGUAAACCAACAUUGCCCUCUAAUAAAGUCUCUGUGCUCUCCCUCCCCACAGGCUUCUGUGGAUGGUGGUUCUAUGUGACGGUGGUUCUAUGUGACGGUGGUUCUAUGUGACGUGGUUUUAUGUGACGGUGGUUCUAUUUGACGGUGGUUCUAUUUGACGGUGGUUCUAUGUGACGGUGGUUCUAUGUGACGUGGCUCUAUGUGACGGUGGUUCUAUGUGAUGGUGGUUCCAUGUGAUGGUGGUCCUAUCUGAUGGUGGUUCCAUGUGAUGGUGGUUCCAUGUGAUGGUGGUUCCAUGUGAUGGUGGUUCUAUCUGACGGUGGUUCUAUGUGAUGGUGGUUCUAUCUGAUGGUGGUUCUAUGUGAUGGUGGUUCUAUCUGAUGGAGGUUCUAUGUGACGGUGGUUGUCCCUGCAGUGGUCCUGUGUGAUGGUGGUUCUAUGUGAUGGUGGUUCUAUCUGACGGUGGUUCUAUGUGACGGUGGUUCUAUGUGAUGGUCGUUCUAUGUGACGGUGGUUCUAUGUGAUGGUGGUUCUAUGUGAUGGGGGUUCUAUGUGAUGGUGGUUCUAUGUGAUGGUGGUUCUAUGUGAUGGUCGUUCUAUGUGACGGUGGUUCUAUGUGAUGGUGGUUCUAUGCGACGGUGGUUCUAUGUGACGGUGGUUCUAUGUGACGGUGGUUCUAUGUGAUGGUGGUUCUAUCUGAUGGUGGUUCUAUGUGAUGUAGUGGUGGUGGUGGUCCCUGCAGUGGUCCUGCUGUGCGUCUGGUUUAUUACUCACAGUUACUUGAAUCAUUUCUGUCAUAUAGUCUCAUGUAUUAUACAUUGUUCAUUCUGUACACAUGACGUCAUUGUAGUCUGUCCAUCAGGAGACGGAUCCUCCUCUGACGUUCUCACUAAGGUUUCAUCCCUUUUUUCCCUCUUGGAAGGGUUUUUUCAUUUUUUGGGGAGUGUUUCCUGUGCGAAGGAGGGUUUCGGGACAGAGGAUGUUGUAUGUGUACAGACUGUAAAGCCCUCUGAGGCUAAUUUGUAAUUUGCGAUUUUGGGCUCUACAAAAUAAAAUGAAUUGAACUGUUGGAAUGAUGCCUGUUUUUAUAUCGUUCUCAUUAAACUUAUACUUAAUACCAGGUGAAUGAUCCCUGAUCCAUUUCUCAUUAACCAACCAGUCAUUGUGGACCCACUAUCCAAAUAGGCUUCUGUUACUAUUCCUUGUAUUGAACAGGACAUUUUCAUAACAUUUUCUAUUUUUGGAACCUAACAGUUCCAGUGGGUGGGCACACAACCGAACAAAGGCUUAUAGCGUCCAGAACGUCUUUUUCUGACGUUCUACUUUCAUCCAUAUCGAAGCAGAUCUGUUGGACACACAGAUGAUGUGUUAAAGUGUGAGUAUGUUGGCGGUGUUGUUGUGGCUCACGUACCGCUCUCUUUAUUUAACACAAAUGUAUGAACAGCUUAUAGGCUAUUUAUAAUAUUAUAGAACAAGUAAUAAUUUGAAUUACUCCAAAGUUAUUCUUGAUUGUGUCAUCAAGAUCAAAGCUAUAUUAGCUUAUGAGUUACAUAGGCCCCGCCCCUCCAAACACCCAAACCUGGCUGUUGUUGCCUGGCAACAGUGGGUUUUGUCACUUAACAAUAUUUGAGCGGCCACAGAGUGGUGCAGCGUUAAUGUAUCAACGUUGGUAACGUGUGUCCUCCUGUGUGAUAUCAGGAUAAUGUGCAGCCCUCCACAGGCUUAUUCCUGCAACCGCCAGACAUCGUUUUCCUUUUUUAUCAGCGUUCGAUGAUUCAUAAAAGUGUGCGGAUAUAAUGAGGACAUUCCCAAAAAUGAUUUCCCACGCUGCCAUUGGAGGAAUUUGCUUUAGCCGAUUAUUUUUCUUUUCAUGCUACUUUAUACUUCUCCUCCACUGCAACACAAGCAGAGAUAUUGUGCACUUUUCUUCCAUAUUUAUUUUAGAAUUAUUUUAGACAGGGAUAUGCUCUUAAUAUUGGAUUAAUAUACAAAUGUAUUAUUUGUGUGACCAAAUGGACACUUAAAAUACUAUCCAGACGUGACAAGGCCACUCUCUUUGGAGGGGAGAGACGCUGAAUUCAAUUAUCUUACUGGCCAAAAACCCCAUACAUACAUCAUAGACAGAGGCUUCUGCGUGUACAAUGCAAUAUCACUUUUAUUUAAACAAUAACUUUAUAAAACCACAUCCAAAUAAUUUAUACCAGUAGUGAUCGACCGGGGGCAACAAUGACACUUCCAACAAUAAAACACUGCACACUGUUAAAGGCUAAAAUAACCAACGCACACAAAUGCG
ensembl:lncRNA